rnacentral:rRNA from 1 species
AUGGUGCCAUGGUUGCUGCCUGAGUUCCUGGACAGAGAGAGUGGAAAUGAGAGAGGAGGAGGAGCACGGGAAGGAGGAAGAAUGAUAGGGAGGAGGCUGACGCUCAUCUGGUGGCUGCUGGUUCGCUCGCCGGCGUGGAGGUUGGUGGUGACGCGGGGUCGAGGGGCUCCUCCCCUCGAUCCAAUUGAGAGUGAGGGAGCAGGGAGGAGCACGAGAGGAGCUCGGGGUAGGGGCACGCGAGAGCAGUGGCUGGAAGGCUCUCGGUGUCUUGAGGUGAUAGGGGAAUCGGGCGAACGGUGCUGGUUGGAGGAGGUGGGCGAGGGGAUCAGGGAGGAUCCCGAUGUGGGAUUUGAUUGUCGCGGCGGCGAGGAGGAAUGA